CCCUCACUGCAUGCCAGAGCUGAUGUACAAUAUUGUCACUUUUAUGAAGUGAAACCUAGUUGGUAUGGGAUUAUCCUAUAAACUUCAGUUCUCUAAAACAGUAGUUACUGUUGCCUGCACAAAUCUCGUAACUUAGCUGCUCUUUUGUUAUCUUCUAAUUUGUUCACAGAAUUCUUAGCUGUGUGGCAAUUAUGCAAAAAGGAAAAAAAAAGAAAAAAGAAAAAAGAUAAAAGAAAAAACAAAGCAGACUAUGUUAGUUGCAUCUUGUGGCUCUAAUUAGCAGCAGUUUUGACAAGCAUUUCAGUGUUUGUAAAUGUUGGUAAACAUCAGUGCUUAUUUCUUUCACAAAUUUUUUUCAGCUCAAGUGAGCUAACAUGAAUGUUCUCUGAACUAAAUGCUGCAAAACAAUGAAAAGAGCUAUUUAGCUAUUUUUAUUGACUGAAAUAUUUAAAAGGCAUUUUAUUUUAACUUGAAGAAUCCUGAAGUAAAAAAAAAAAAAAGUUAAUGAAAAAUUAUUGAUCUUUUUGUCUACUUUCCAGGCAAAAGUAUGCCAAGGGAAUUUGUCAUGGUUUACACACAAUAAAAUGAAUCUCCUCUGUCACUGAAGAAAAAUCUGUAUUUGGUCACACCUCCAGAUUCCCUAAAAUAGUAUCUAGAUCUGUAAAUUUAAAAUUCCAGCUUAAAGCAUAUGAAAUUUCUAUACUGAUGUUCUACAGUACCAUGGGAACUUCAACAGAUAGUAUAAGUUACCAAUCUGUAUCAUAUUUUAAAUGUAAGACAAAACUUAGAAAAACUGAUCACAGAACUUGCAUGAAAGCAGAGUAACAUACUAUGGUUGGUGGGAAGAGUAUGUCUCUAGUAUUAGACUUUCAUAAUUGUUUUUGCUGCUAAAGGAAUCAGGCAUGGCAAUCUAAAAAGAUUUCUUGAAAGAUAAAGAUACUCAGUUCAGAUAUUUAUAUAAUGUCAAUUUAUUGGUUUCAUAAGAGAGAUGUCAAAUGCAUUUUAGUGUAUGCAUGUGACACAAUCUACGAAGCUCACGAUACCCAAGUUCACUUUGAGUUUUGACUGUAUUUAAUAUCAGAUUUUAUUUUAUUUUAGUUUAGUUUAGUUUAGUUUAGCUUAGUUUAGCUUAGUUUAUAGUUUAUAAUUUACUGAAAGGAUAUCACGGAUGGUAUUAUAUAUAGAAUAUAUGCAAAUUUUCUUCUAACUUUAUUCCUUUAUAUUUCAGAAAACUGUGAUAUGGAGAAUACUUAAGAUUUCCUGCCUUUUUUCCUGUGUAACAAUAUAAUUCUGAAACUUCUGGUGCUUAAACUUAGGUGACAGCGAUUGUGUUUUGGGUGUUCAACUUGUUAAAAGUGAAAGACCAGCCCUAUAUUAAAGUUCAUCUCUGCAUAUGUUUGCUUUAAUGAAUUGACUGUUCUAAAGGCCUGAGGACAGAUCUGAUGUUCAAAGUCUCCUGAAUUUUAAUUUUGGCUCUUACGGACUGAACACUUUUGAGGAUUCUUAACUAUCAUCUAAUCAGAUUUGGCAUUCCAGUUAGGCUGUGCUGCAUCUCAUGUUGAAAUUCCUUACCCUGUUCUUGUUGCAGCUACAUUAAAAUACAUUACUUGGUUAAUUUGAUGCUGAACGGAAUAGGAUUGAAGGUGGCUUCAGACCAAAAGGAACAGCAGAAAACUAACCUUGCAUAGGUUUGAUGGGCAUUAAUAUUGAUGAUCUGUUUCCCAGGAUUUGUGAAAAAGAGCCAGUGAAGAACUUUGUGUCAGCUUACAGUGACUUGGAAGCUCAUUCACUCUGAAGUUAUUUCCAGAUGAGAUAAGCUUUUUAAGUGUAGAUAAUAUCUGAUCCAUAAUUUUUUAAUUAUUUCAUUCUAUAUUUUUUCAGUGUUAUUCACAGGCACAUGCAGAAGUUUUAGUAUACAAAAUUGCCUUAUGUCAUUCUUUUACAGAAGUAUGAUUCCCUUUUAUAUAUUUGCAGACUACCUGGUUUCCUAUUAAAAAGGCAAUAUUGAAACAGUUUCCUGUUUGUUUGCUAUCCUAAAAGAAAAUCCAACCUUAUAUUACUUUUGCCUUAUAUCCCUUCUAUUCCCAGCAGUUUGUUGGUGAAGACCCAGACAUGCCAGCCAUUGACAACUGAGAAUACUUCAUUUCUGAAAUUUGCCCAUGAAGUGAAGAAAGUAGGGUGAUCCUUCUGGAAGCCCUAGUAACAAUUCACUUCCCUGGUCUCUGGCAUGUCAGGUUUUCCGUCAACUUGCUAGAGAAUAAAUUAUUAAUUCUAAUGUCUGAGUAACUGAAUAACACUAUUCUGUUCUGGGAUUAAAGAUAAGAUUACAAUAAGGAAAUAUAUUUUUUAAAGUUUUAUUAAAGGUAUUUCCCCACCUCUUAUAAGUAUCAUGCAACCAGUACCAUCUUAAACUGCAUCUUUUCUACACAAUUCAAAAACAAUUUGAGGUCGAAUAUGAUUUUCUUUUCGUAAAUCUAUUUUAAUAGUACAUUCAACCUGCCUCCUCUAAAACUUCUUUAUUCUUUUGAAGAGACAUUUUGGCUCAGCCUUUAUUACUUUUUUUUUAUUAUUAUUCACUUCUUUCUCUGUUCUCAGAAACACUGCGUUUUGAUGUAAUAAUAUGUAAGUCAAUUUUUGUUUCUCCUUUAUUCCUUUUUCUGGUCAUGAACCCUGAUCAUCAACUGAAAAAUGUAUUUCUGAUUUCACUUCCUUUUUUUGUAGAUACUGGAAAAAUAUUUGCACAUAUGUACUUAAAUCAAUUGCAAAGCUUUUUGCUUCUCUGUCUAAGAUAUCAUUACGCAUCUCUUAGAUCAUGCAAGAUCUUUCGCAUACAAGAAAGUUAUAUCAUUUUCUGAAAGAAAAGAAAAUGAUAGGUCAGAUAUGUCUCAAAUGUAUGUUGAUUCAUUCACUAGGAAAAACAGUAAUAGACAAUUCAUACAAAUAGAAAUGUGAGGCAUAACCUCAUGAGGUUCAACAAGGCCAAGCGCAAGGUCCUAUACCCACAUCGGGACAAUCUCCGUUUUCAGUACACAUGGAGGAUAAUGUGGGGGAGAGCAGCCCUGUAGAGGACUUGGGGAUGCUGGUCAAGGAGAAAAUUAACUUGAGCCGGCAGUGUGCACUCACAGCCCAGAAGGUCAACUGUAUCCUGAGCUGCAUCAAAAGAAAAGUGGCCAGCAGGUCAAGGGGAAGUGAUUCUGCCCCUCUAUUCCUCCCUUGUGAGACCUCAUCUGGAGUAUUGUGUCGAGUUCUGGAUUCCUCAGGAGAAGAAGGAUAUGGAACUGUUGGAACAGGUCCAGAGGAGGGCUACAAAGAUGAUCAGGGGCUGGAACACCUCCCAUACGAGGAUAGAUUGAGAGAGCUAGACUUGUUCAGCCUGGAGAAGAGAAGGCUCCAAGGAGGUCUUAUAGCAACCUACUAGUAUCUGAAAGGGGCCCAUAAGAAAGCUGGAGAGGGGCUGUUCACAAAGGCUUGUAGUAAUAUGACUGGGGGCAAUGGGUAUGAACUGGAGAGAGGCAGAUUUUAGACAAGGCACAAGGAAGAAUUUCUUCACCAUGAGAAUGGUGAGACACCGGAACAAGUUGCCCAGGGAAGCUGUGCAUGCCCCAUCUCUGGAGGUGUUCAAAGCCAGGUUGGAUGGGGUCUUGGGCAGCCUGAUCUAGUGGGAUGUGUCCCUGCCCAUGGCAGGGGUGUUGGAACUAGAUGAUCUUUAAGGUCCUUUCCAACUCAAACUAGUCUAUGAUUCUAUGACCUGUUAGCUGAAAAGGCAAAAGCCUGAAACUACCGUAGAAGGCUUCGCAGAUGAUCUUGGAUGUUAAGUUCUGGUAACACAGUAAAAAAAUGUGAAAAUAUUUUGCAUUUGCUGAGUUCUUACACAAAACAUUUUCUGAAAAUUUGCACCUCGUAUCUGAACUUCUAGGAGAAUAAUUCAGAUGGCAAGGCACAUAAAACUUGUAAAAAUGCAAAGAAUGCAAAAAAGGCAAAUGCAGCAUGGUACAAGUAGAAAAAAAAAAAAAAAAGAAUUGUACCUGCACAGUACAAAACUAAUCUAUAGUAAGACAAGGAGGACCUUCAAAAUGACUGAAUUCUCUGAUUAAAAUCACAAAGAUAGCAAAAUAGAGUAUUAAACUAGAUUAAGAUACUCUACAAAACCAAUAGUAAUAGGAACAACAAAUUUAAAUUAAAAAGAUGCUUGGAAUAUUCCUGUUAAAACAAACUAGUUAUGGUGAUAGCCGAACAAUAAUAUCUGUUGCCCAUUUACUGAGAAUUACCGUCUUGAACACUGGCAUUCAGGAUCCACACUCAGUUACUUUUAAAAUUGACCAUGGACAAAUAUGGCUUAUUUUUAUUAAGACUUGAAAGAGAUAAACCCCAAACCUGAAUUGAAACAUUUAUUUCUCAGUCUGUUGUCUUGAAAAAUGAUGAUAAUACUAUUGAUCUAUCUCACAGUGAUGUACUAAGUAUUUGCACAGUGCUUUAGAAAUUCCAGGCCCUAGAGUAAUACCAAGUAUUACCUUCAAUAAAAACAAAUAAUACUGGGCAGAAAUAAAAGUGUAAAGAUGAAUAAAAACACCUGGUCUUUCUUCAGUCAAAAAAAAUCAUAGCAGUAACUCACCAGGAAGCAACCAUAAUAUUCAUAUCAGUGUGAAUGUUAAGUUAUAUAUAAAUCUCACACUAGAAAACUUCUGAGAUUCAAAUUGGUUGCUUUAUCACUGGUAGACUGAAGAACAUCAGAUUUAAACACAGUAGCACAAUCCAGUGCUUUUAUUCUUCCCGAUAUUUAAAGCUUUGUUAUACAGCCACUUAAGUCUUUGAGAUUAUUUUAUGGUAAUGAAAUCAGAUAGUUAAUUUCUAAAUUAUAUAAUGAAUAAAGUAAUGUAUAAAUAGCAUUUUUCAUUAUCUAAUUCCUUGAUCUACAAUCACAAAUGACAGAUAUUUUAUCUGAAAUCUUUUUACCUAUUAUCAAUUCUCUGUACUUGUACUGUAAUAUAAAUAAGGCUGCUAAAAACUGAAAUGACACAAGGGAAUACUGAGGAAAGCUAAAUGAGCAAUGAAAUCUUUAUUGCUUUUAAGCAUAUCUGAAGGAGGUCUUGGGUAUUUCCAUGAUUAUAUUCUGUUCUGCCGUUGUUUAUUGAGAUUCAGUAAAUGAGUUACAUUUGUGUUAAUAGGAUAUUAACGAAAACAACUAUUAAAAUUAUAUUUUAUUUUGGUCCACAAGGAUAGGAAACACAAAAGUUAAAAAAGGGAAGUUCUGAGAUAUCUGAAGAGUCCAAAGGAAAAGAUAUUUUUUUGUUAAGGUCUACCAUUUUGCUUGCUUAGAUG